UGACCAGGGCAACAGAACUACUCCUUCUUGGCCGCAUCACCUAUUAACCGCUCAGUGUCGGUGAAGGCGACAUAAGAAGGAGUAGUUCUGUUGCCCUGGUCAUUGGCUAUAAUCUCAACACGAUCGUUCUGCCACACGCCCACGCAGCUGUAGGUGGUGCCAAGGUCGAUGCCAAUAGCUUUGCCUUCGGUCUUUGGCGCCAUUGAAGAAAACGGUUAACUAUAACAAGAAAUCAAGAAACGAAAGAACUUGGCUAUAAACAAGGAAAAAAAGCCAAUUAAAGAAUCAAGAACUCUUGAUUAAUUGGUAUAAAAAGAGAAGAUUUGUUUAGUUCGAUUUCGAGUUGACUUUUGUGCUUCGGAUUG
rnacentral:misc_RNA from 1 species